rnacentral:rRNA from 1 species
GACGAACCGUGCGAACGUUAUUCGGAAUCACUGGGCUUAAAGCGCGUGUAGGCGGGCCGGCACGUCGGUCGCUGAAAUCCCCCGGCUCAACCGGGGAAGGGGCGCCGAUACGACCGGCCUGGAGGGGCGUAGGGGGACCGGGAACUUCCGGUGGAGCGGUGAAAUGCGCAGAUAUCAGGAGGAACACCGGUGGCGAAGGCGGGUCUCUGGGCCGGAUACUGACGCUGAGGAGCGAAAGCGUGGGGAGCAAACAGG